rnacentral:RNase_P_RNA from 1 species
UAAGUAAACCGGGUGACCGCUCUGAUUUGUCUGCAAAUCGGGGAGGAAAGUCCGAGCUCCACCGGGCAGGGUGCUGGGUAACGCCCAGGAGGGGUGACCCUACGGAAAGUGCCACAGAAACAUACCGUCCUUCCCUGGAAGGAUAAGGGUGAAAUGGUGAGGUAAGAGCUCACCAGCAGUCAGGUGACUGGCUGGCUGGGUAAACCCCACCCGGAGCAAGACCAAAUAGGGGGCGAAAGGGACGCCCGGCCCUGACCCCGGGUUGGUCGCUUGACCUUGAUGGUAACAUCAAGGCUAGAUGGAUGGUCACCGCCCUGGCCUUGUCAGGGUACAGAACUCGGCUUACAGGUUUACUUAGCCU